GGUUCCGUGGCCUAAUGGUAAGGCGUCAGAUUUCGGUUGAAGAAGUCUCUCUGAAGAUUGCGGGUUCGAAUCCCGUCGGGAUCG